rnacentral:rRNA from 1 species
UACAGGGGUCCCGAGCGUUGUUCGGAUUUAUUGGGCGUAAAGGGUGCGUAGGCGGCGGAGUAAGUUGGGUGUGAAAUCCCGGGGCUCAACCUCGGAAUUGCAUUCAAUACUGCUUCGCUCGAGUACUGGAGAGGAGGCUGGAAUUUACGGUGUAGCAGUGAAAUGCGUAGAUAUCGUAAGGAAGGCCGGUGGCGAAAGCGAGCCUCUGGACAGUUACUGACGCUGAGACGCGAAAGCGUGGGGAGCAAACCGG